rnacentral:rRNA from 1 species
UACGUAGGGUGCAAGCGUUGUCCGGAAUUAUUGGGCGUAAAGAGCUCGUAGGCGGUCUGUCGCGUCGGCUGUGAAAACCCGAGGCUCAACCUCGGGCCUGCAGUCGAUACGGGCAAACUAGAGUACUGCAGGGGAGACUGGAAUUCCUGGUGUAGCGGUGAAAUGCGCAGAUAUCAGGAGGAACACCGGUGGCGAAGGCGGAUCUCUGGGCCUUACCUGACGCUCAGGCGCGAAAGCUAGGGGAGCGAACUGG